GCCAAAGACGGUAACAGCCCGGUAGUUGAAAUGGCUUUCCCUCCAGAGUGGAUCCUGAGUACGGCGGAACACGUGAAAUUCCGUCGGAAUCCGGGAGGACCAUCUCCCAAGGCUAAAUACUCCCUAGUGACCGAUAGUGAACCAGUACCGUGAGGGAAAGGUGAAAAGCACCCCGGAAGGGGAGUGAAACAGUUCCUGAAACCGUGUGCCUACAAGUAGUUAGAGCCCGUUAAUGGGUGAUAGCGUGCCUUUUGUAGAAUGAACCGGCGAGUUACGAUUUGUUGCAAGGUUAAGCGGAAAAAGCGGAGCCGUAGCGAAAGCGAGUCUGAAUAGGGCGCAUAAGUAACAGGUCGUAGACCCGAAACCAGGUGAUCUACCCAUGUCCAGGAUGAAGGUAAGGUAAUACUUACUGGAGGUCCGAACCCACGCACGUUGAAAAGUGCGGGGAUGAGGUGUGGGUAGCGGAGAAAUUCCAAUCGAACUUGGAGAUAGCUGGUUCUCUCCGAAAUAGCUUUAGGGCUAGCCUCGAGGUAAAGAGUCAUGGAGGUAGAGCACUGUUUGGACUAGGGGCCCUUCUCGGGUUACCGAAUUCAGAUAAACUCCGAAUGCCAUGUACUUAUACUCGGGAGUCAGACUGCGAGUGAUAAGAUCCGUAGUCGAAAGGGAAACAGCC
rnacentral:rRNA from 1 species